ensembl:lncRNA SOX1-OT SOX1 overlapping transcript
GGGGCUCCGGGAGGUGCCCGUGGGCAGAGCGUUAGGGGCGCGGCCGUGCCGGACCCGCCCUGGGGACCCGCUGGAGCUGGAGGAGGAACUAACUAUGGCUUGGCAUCUUCUUCCGAGCAAGCGCAGCUCUCAGGCCGGGCCUGAGCCUGCAGCCUGUGUGCCCUCCAUCAUCAGGGCCCCCUCUCAGGACAGGCUACACCGAGGGUGGGACGGCGGACUUCCAGGGACACUUCCAAGUCGUGCCCAUGCAGAUACCUCAGUAUACACUGCCCACAGUUAAGAAACCACGACCUGAGACAUUGUUUUGAAGAGGUGAAAAUGCCUCCACUCAAGUGGCCCAGGAGCGUGAUCCAGGAAGACGAACACACAGAACCAUCUUCUGCAUGGUUUGAAAAUUCAGUGGAAACUAGGUAUUUAUGAACGAGAUGCUUACUGCAGUUUGCAUGCACUGAGUAGACAUUUGUGGAUUAAUUCAUCUAGGGUUGGGGGAGAGGUUCCAAGAGGAGGGUAAGAACAAAGAACAGACACAGGCCCAGCUGACCAUUCCCUUCAGUGAGAAAAAGACCCGCAGGCAGAGUUGAGCACGCGGCUCACAUUCGCACAUGCUUGGCAUCAUGAACCGUAAGGAAGAGCAAAGCUGGUUUCCAGAAAGACGUUAACUCACAGUCGUACUUCUCUCCACUUCCCUUGCUCCUCUCCCUGGCCUCUCUACAUCUCCCUGCUCUCUCCUGCACCAGGGCUUGGUCAGUGCUUAACUCUGGCAGGUGCCACGAGUGCUGCCUGCUGCAGCUUGCUAGGAUUCAGAUGCCACUCAUGAGGCAUGGGCAAGUGUGAGCACACAGAAACACACACGCACACCUGCACAGGCACGUGCAGCCUCUGUGGGGCAUGUUUAGAACUCCUGGGUCUGCUGGCGGGUACCUUUCCCCCUCGUGCUUUCCACGUGCAGCCAAGGCCUACUUCUAUUGCAGUAAAAAUUAGUCUCCGUGUCUGCCUGUCUGAACACAAGCUAACUUACAAGGAAACAUGAAAUUUAAUUUUAAAUUGAAGUUAAAAAUUUUCCAUUAGACUUAAUUUAAAAAUUUUUAGCUUCAUUUUAAAAUUUAAUUAAAUUAGAUUUAACUGGUUCCUUGAAAAUUGCUGAUCUCUCUCUGAACGUAAUCCUAUUUUCAAAAUUAUGGUUGGUUUUCUUAGAUUGAUAGGGUCCUCAGUGUGGGGAGGGAGAGGUAUUUGAAGGUGAAUAUGAGAGCAUCUACAGGUAAAGAGUUUAGGCACAGUUUAGAUCAUGUAGAGAAAAAUCUGUCAUUUAGGGGGAGAAGCUGAUUCUUGGAACCAAAUUAUUCAAAUUAACCAUAUCCAAUCUGCAGUGCCAAAACCAAAACCAAACCAACCAGCCUAAAUUGUUCACUUUACUUUGGCAGGCACCAAAUAUGCAUAUGUGUAUCAAAUAAAGUGAACAAUUGGAGUUCUUUCUCUAAUUUAGAUAAUUUCUGGAAAAAAACCAGCAAUCCACAUCUUUUGCCUCAAUUGCUAGAUUAUUACUGAUGAGAGAAUAUUUAUGUUUUUAACUUUUCUUUCUCCUUUGGGUGAGGUGGCUGGAAUGGAUAAAUGUUUCAAUUCUGCAUUUCUAAACUCUGCAUAUCUAUAGAGUCGUGUUGCAUGUGUUACUC